GGCCGCGUGGCCCAAUGGCAAGGCGUCUGACUACGAAUCAGGAGAUUGCAGGUUCGAGCCCUGCCGUGGUCA
rnacentral:tRNA from 3 species